rnacentral:rRNA from 1 species
GACGAACGCUGGCGGCGCGCCUAACACAUGCAAGUCGAACGGAAUUAUUUUCUUUACUCCGAGUUCUUUGCAGGCUUCCGGUAAGCGGCAAUUCAUUUUGCAAAGCAAAAUGAAUUUAGGCUUAUUUAGUAAGACUAACACGGAAGGCAGAGGAUUGGGAGUAAAGAAAAUAAUUUAGUGGCGAACGGGUGAGUAACGCGUGAGUAACCUGCCCUGGAGUGGGGGACAACAGUUGGAAACGACUGCUAAUACCGCAUAAGCCCACGGUACCGCAUGGCACUGAGGGAAAAGGAUUUAUUCGCUUCAGGAUGGACUCGCGUCCAAUUAGCUGGUUGGUGAGGUAACGGCCCACCAAGGCGACGAUUGGUAGCCGGACUGAGAGGUUGAACGGCCACAUUGGGACUGAGACACGGCCCAGACUCCUACGGGAGGCAGCAGUGGGGGAUAUUGCACAAUGGGGGAAACCCUGAUGCAGCGACGCCGCGUGGAGGAAGAAGGUUUUCGGAUUGUAAACUCCUGUCGUUAGGGACGAUAAUGACGGUACCUAACAAGAAAGCACCGGCUAACUACGUGCCAGCAGCCGCGGUAAAACGUAGGGUGCAAGCGUUGUCCGGAAUUACUGGGUGUAAAGGGAGCGCAGGCGGACCGGCAAGUUGGAAGUGAAAACUAUGGGCUUAACCCAUAAAUUGCUUUCAAAACUGCUGGCCUUGAGUAGUGCAGAGGUAGGUGGA